rnacentral:rRNA from 1 species
UACGUAGGGGGCGAGCGUUGUCCGGAAUCAUUGGGCGUAAAGAGCGUGUAGGCGGCUUGGCAAGUCUGACGUGAAAUCCCGCGGCUCAACCGCGGUAGGUCGUUGGAAACUGCCUCGCUAGAGUCCGGAAGAGGAGAGCGGAGUUCCUGGUGUAGCGGUGGAAUGCGCAGAUAUCAGGAAGAACACCCGUGGCGAAGGCGGCUCUCUGGGACGGUACUGACGCUGAGACGCGAAAGCGUGGGGAGCGAACAGG